GGGGGCUAUACAUGCAAGUCGAACGCACUCUCGUUUAGAUUGAAGGAGCUUGCUCCUGAUUGAUAAACAUUUGAGUGAGUGGCGGACGGGUGAGUAACACGUGGGUAACCUGCCCUAAAGUGGGGGAUAACAUUUGGAAACAGAUGCUAAUACCGCAUAAAACCUAACACCGCAUGGUGUAGGGUUGAAAGAUGGUUUCGGCUAUCACUUUAGGAUGGACCCGCGGUGCAUUAGUUAGUUGGUGAGGUAAAGGCUCACCAAGACCGUGAUGCAUAGCCGACCUGAGAGGGUAAUCGGCCACACUGGGACUGAGACACGGCCCAGACUCCUACGGGAGGCAGCAGUAGGGAAUCUUCCACAAUGGACGAAAGUCUGAUGGAGCAACGCCGCGUGAGUGAAGAAGGUUUUCGGAUCGUAAAACUCUGUUGUUGGAGAAGAAUGUAUCUGAUAGUAACUGAUCAGGUAGUGACGGUAUCCAACCAGAAAGCCACGGCUAACUACGUGCCAGCAGCCGCGGUAAUACGUAGGUGGCAAGCGUUGUCCGGAUUUAUUGGGCGUAAAGCGAGCGCAGGCGGUUUCUUAAGUCUGAUGUGAAAGCCUUCGGCUCAACCGAAGAAGUGCAUCGGAAACUGGGAAACUUGAGUGCAGAAGAGGACAGUGGAACUCCAUGUGUAGCGGUGAAAUGCGUAGAUAUAUGGAAGAACACCAGUGGCGAAGGCGGCUGUCUGGUCUGUAACUGACGCUGAGGCUCGAAAGCAUGGGUAGCAAACAGGAUUAGAUACCCUGGUAGUCCAUGCCGUAAACGAUGAGUGCUAGGUGUUGGAGGGUUUCCGCCCUUCAGUGCCGCAGCUAACGCAUUAAGCACUCCGCCUGGGGAGUACGACCGCAAGGUUGAAACUCAAAGGAAUUGACGGGGGCCCGCACAAGCGGUGGAGCAUGUGGUUUAAUUCGAAGCAACGCGAAGAACCUUACCAGGUCUUGACAUCCUUUGACCACUCUAGAGAUAGAGCUUUCCCUUCGGGGACAAAGUGAC
rnacentral:rRNA from 1 species